CGGAUAUGGCGGAAUUGGUAGACGCGCCAGACUUAGGAUCUGGUGGGAGACCGUGGGGGUUCGAGUCCCUUUAUCCGC
rnacentral:tRNA from 1 species